rnacentral:rRNA from 1 species
GACGGAGGAUGCAAGUGUUAUCCGGAAUCACUGGGCGUAAAGCGUCUGUAGGUGGUCAAAUAAGUCAAUUGUUAAAUCUUGAGGCUCAACCUCAAAAUCGCAGUCGAAACUAUUAGACUAGAGUAUAGUAGGGGUAAAGGGAAUUUCCAGUGGAGCGGGUGAAAUGCGUAGAGAUCCGGAGGAACACCAAAGGCGAAGGCAGUGUCCUGGGGAGUACCGUGACGCUCCAGGUGCGAAAGCCAGGGGAAGCGGAACAGGA